UACGAAGGGUGCAAGCGUUACUCGGAAUUACUGGGCGUAAAGCGUGCGUAGGUGGUUCGUUAAGUCUGUCGUGAAAGCCCCGGGCUCAACCUGGGAAUGGCGAUGGAUACUGGCGGGCUAGAGUGCGGUAGAGGAGAGUGGAAUUCCCGGUGUAGCAGUGAAAUGCGUAGAUAUCAGGAGGAACACCGGUGGCGAAGGCGGCUAUCUGGACAGAGUCUGACGCUGAGGCGCGAAAGCUAGGGGAGCAAACGGG
rnacentral:rRNA from 1 species